ACAUCCAGAGAAUUUAGCAGAGAUGCUUUAGUGCCUUCGGGAACUCUGAGACAGGUGCUGCAUGGCUGUCGUCAGCUCGUGUUGUGAAAUGUUGGGUUAAGUCCCGCAACGAGCGCAACCCUUAUCCUUUGUUGCCAGCACGUAAUGGUGGGAAACUCAAAGGAGACUGCCGGUGAUAAACCGGAGGAAGGUGGGAUGACGUCAAGUCAUCAUGGCCCUUACGAGUAGGGCUACACACGUGCUACAAUGGCGCAUACAAAGAGAAGCGACCUCGCGAGAGCAAGCGGACCUCAUAAAGUGCGUCGUAGUCCGGAUUGGAGUCUGCAACUCGACUCCAUGAAGUCGGAAUCGCUAGUAAUCGUAAAUCAGAAUGUUACGGUGAAUACGUUCCCGGGCCUUGUACACACCGCCCGUCACACCAUGGGAGUGGGUUGCAAAAGAAGUAGAUAGCUUAACCUUCGGGAGGGCGUUUACCACUUUGUGAUUCAUGACUGGGGUGAAGUCGUAACAAGGUAAGCGUAGUGCU
rnacentral:rRNA from 1 species